AUUUGGUCUCUCACCAUCUCCUGUGGCCUCCCUGCCAUUUCUAUGCUUCACCGCUCUCUGUAGCCAGGAGUCCAGUGUUUCCUUUAAGGUUAGUGGUGAUGCAGGAGAGUCCUGUUUGCUUCUGCUUUGCUGUGGUAAGAAUUCCCAUGGAGCUGGGGAGAUCGUUCAGUAGUCCUCUACUCUUCUAGACCAUGGUAAUUAACAAGUUACCCAGCUCAUCUUCUGGCUAACUCUACACCAAGGCUGGCUUUAUGAAGACAAUGAUGCAGUCACAUGAGAGGUUCCACCACCUGUCAACAUGCAUGAACCUGGAGCACUCUGCCUUCCAUCUGAUAGUGUGGGCAACAGGUCCCUGAUCCAUCCCGUGCAAUUGCAAGAAGUGGGCAUGGAUGGUGUUCCCAUCGUUUCCAGUGUUCUCGACAACUUCAUUACUGCAAUGACACUACACAUUGACUGGUUGAUAUCCUGCCUCAUCAGCCUCUCCUUUCAUAGCCUUUGUGGCUUUCCUUCUGGAUGACAAGUGAGGAAGUCUCACUUUUUUCUGACUUCUGUUUGCAUAUUCUUCAUGGUGAUCAUAUGGAAUCCCAUGGCUUUAAAAUGCAGUCCAUCAGGAUAUAGAGGUCAUGAGGGAGCAGAAAGGUUGAGUCAGGGAAAGAAUAGAAGAAAGGAUAUGUGAUAGGUAGGGUUUUAGUUGGGGAGGGUGGUAGGGGAGGACGGGAGGAAGAAGGGAACUGGGAUUGUCAUGUAAAACAAUCUUGUUUCUAAUUCAAAUAAAAAAAAUCUGAAAAAAGGAA
rnacentral:lncRNA from 1 species